rnacentral:rRNA from 1 species
GAUGAACGCUGGCGGCGUGCCUAAUACAUGCAAGUCGAGCGAACAGACGAGGAGCUUGCUCCUCUGAUGUUAGCGGCGGACGGGUGAGUAACACGUGGAUAACCUACCUAUAAGACUGGGAUAACUUCGGGAAACCGGAGCUAAUACCGGAUAACAUGUUGAACCGCAUGGUUCAACAGUGAAAGACGGUCUUGCUGUCACUUAUAGAUGGAUCCGCGCCGCAUUAGCUAGUUGGUAAGGUAACGGCUUACCAAGGCAACGAUGCGUAGCCGACCUGAGAGGGUGAUCGGCCACACUGGAACUGAGACACGGUCCAGACUCCUACGGGAGGCAGCAGUAGGGAAUCUUCCGCAAUGGGCGAAAGCCUGACGGAGCAACGCCGCGUGAGUGAAGAAGGUCUUCGGAUCGUAAAACUCUGUUACUAGGGAAGAACAAAUGUGUAAGUAACUAUGCACGUCUUGACGGUACCUAAUCAGAAAGCCACGGCUAACUACGUG